rnacentral:lncRNA from 1 species
GAAAAAUAAAGGAUCAAAAUGCGCUUGGUGUGUGACAUGUGCUAUGUCAUGGUACUUAACUGUGAAAUUAAUCUAUAACCUAAUCUUUCUCUCUUUAAAUUCAGAUGUUUAGCAAGAGAAGAGGAGAAACAGAUCAGGUUCAAUUAAUUACUGUCAUUCUAUGCAUCUUCCAUAAACCAUAAAGAGCGGUCAUUGUGCAGCUCACUGAGUAGUAGAGUAAAACCACAUUCUUCAGAAAUACCACUAGAGUCCUCCCAGGAGUACUACCACCCAUGAAAUCACGAAUGUAUUGCUUGAAGAAUGUACUGUGGAUUGUAUUGGGAGAGGGAAAGAAAAUAUGUAAAGGAAAACAACAACAACAACAAUACAAACAAAAGCAAAAAGUCAGCUAAGAAGCUAGAAAAUUUCCAUUUAAAAACACAAAAACACAUCUGGUCUCCUGGACCUUGGUUCAGGAAAAAUUUACUGAGGGCAUCCAGGAGCCAUAAAAAGAUAUCUGUGCCAGGCAGCGAUGCGUGGGACCUUAGAGACUGA